rnacentral:lncRNA from 1 species
AAAUUAGCUUAAAUUUUCAUGCUUUUGGUGCACCCUUUCAUAAAUCCUGAUGCUCUUCCACUCUCUCUCUUUAAAACCCUUGAAAAAUCUUGUUUCCAUACUUUCUCUCACUAGCUAGGUGUUUAGAGAGAGAAAGAGAGAAAAAGCCCUAUAAUAGCUUGGGAAUUGUUAGAAAGAAAUUCAAAGUUACUAAACUAUCAAGGUGAGUAGUGAAUUAACAUUGGGUUUUAAGUGUUGAUAAUGUUUAAUGAUUGAAUUGUGGGUUUAUUGUUGAGAUUGUGUAUUGACUCUAAUGUGAUUAGGAUAGUGGGGAUAAAUAGCCAUUUAAAAUGGCAAUUGAAAGCUAGCUAAGGGGUAGCUUUUAGGGUUUAUAAGUAUGAAUUGACAUUAUGGUGAUAUUAAUUUGAUGGUAGGUUCCAACGAAGCCCCAUUAUCCCAAUUGGACCAUUAGAGAGGUUAGAGUUGGCUAAAGGCUCAACUACUACCGAU